rnacentral:rRNA from 1 species
AGGAUGAACGCUGGCGGCGUGCUUAACACAUGCAAGUCGAACGAUGAUCCCUAGCUUGCUGGGGGGAUUAGUGGCGAACGGGUGAGUAACACGUGAGUAACCUGCCCUUGACUCUGGGAUAAGCCUGGGAAACUGGGUCUAAUACUGGAUACGGCUGACUAUCGCAUGGUGGUUGGUGGAAAGCUUUUGUGGUUUUGGAUGGACUCGCGGCCUAUCAGUCUUGUUGGUGGGGUAAUGGCCUACCAAGGCGACGACGGGUAGCCGGCCUGAGGAGGGUGGACGGCCACGACGUGGGACUGAGACACGGCCCAGACUCCUACGGGAGGCAGCGAGUGGGGAAUAGUUGCACAAGUGGGCGACAAGCCUGAUGGCAGCGACGCCG